rnacentral:rRNA from 1 species
CCUACGGGAGGCAGCAGUGGGGAAUAUUGCACAAUGGGCGCAAGCCUGAUGCAGCGACGCCGCGUGAGGGAUGACGGCCUUCGGGUUGUAAACCUCUUUCAGUAGGGAAGAAGCGAAAGUGACGGUACCUGCAGAAGAAGCGCCGGCUAACUACGUGCCAGCAGCCGCGGUAAUACGUAGGGCGCAAGCGUUAUCCGGAAUUAUUGGGCGUAAAGAGCUCGUAGGCGGUUUGUCGCGUCUGCCGUGAAAGUCCGGGGCUCAACUCCGGAUCUGCGGUGGGUACGGGCAGACUAGAGUGAUGUAGGGGAGACUGGAAUUCCUGGUGUAGCGGUGAAAUGCGCAGAUAUCAGGAGGAACACCGAUGGCGAAGGCAGGUCUCUGGGCAUUAACUGACGCUGAGGAGCGAAAGCAUGGGGAGCGAACAGGAUUAGAUACCCUGGUAGUCCAUGCCGUAAACGUUGGGCACUAGGUGUGGGGGACAUUCCACGUUUUCCGCGCCGUAGCUAACGCAUUAAGUGCCCCGCCUGGGGAGUACGGCCGCAAGGCUAAAACUUAAAUGAAUUGACGGCUGAGACGNGCGAGCGACACGAGGGAGAG